rnacentral:tRNA from 1 species
GGCCGGUUAGCUCAGUGGUUUGGGCGCGGUGCUGACAAUGACAACACCGAGGUCGUGGGUUCGUAUCCCACUCAGUCCC